rnacentral:rRNA from 1 species
GUUGAACGCUGGCGGCAGGCCUAACACAUGCAAGUCGAGCGCGAAAGUUCUUCGGAAUGAGUAAAGCGGCGGACGGGUGAGGAAUGCAUGGGAAUCUGCCUGGUCGUGGGGGACAACGUCUCGAAAGGGACGAUAAUACCGCAUACGCCCUACAGGGGAUAGGGGGGGAUGUUCGGAACUCUAGCUACCUGAUGAGCCCAUGUCAGAUUAGCUAGUUGGUGGGGUAACGGCUUACCAAGGCGACGAUGUGUAACUGGUAUGAGAGGAUGAUCAGUCACACUGGAACUGAGACACGGUCCAGACUCCUACGGGAGGCAGCAGUGGGGAAUAUUGCACAAUGGGCGAAAGCCUGAUCGAGCCACGCCGCGUGAGUGAAGAAGGUCUUAGGGUUGUAAAGCACUUUUAGUGGGGAGGAAGGCUUUUUACUGUAUAUGUACACAUCUUGACGGUACCCACACAAGAAGCCCCGGCUAACUCCGUG